rnacentral:rRNA from 1 species
CCUACGGGAGGCUGCAGUGGGGAAUAUUGCGCAAUGGGCGAAAGCCUGACGCAGCGACGCCGCGUGAGGGAUGAAGGUCUUCGGAUCGUAAACCUCUGUCAGCAGGGAAGAACGGUCACUGUGCUAAUCAGCAGUGAAUUGACGGUACCUGCAAAGGAAGCACCGGCAAACUCCGUGCCAGCAGCCGCGGUAAUACGGAGGGUGCGAGCGUUAAUCGGAAUUACUGGGCGGAAAGCGCUCGUAGGCGGUAUGUCAAGUCAAGGGUGAAACGCACGCGCUCAACGUGGGAACUGCCUUUGAAACUGGCAGACUGGAGUGUGUGAGAGGAUAGUGGAAUUCCAGGUGUAGGAGUGAAAUCCGUAGAUAUCUGGAGGAACAUCAGUGGCGAAGGCGACUAUCUGGCACAUAACUGACGCUGAUGAGCGAAAGCGUGGGUAGCAAACAGGAUUAGAUACCCCAGUAGUC